CUGGGGGAAGGAUCCCUUCUCUCCCCAGUGCAGGGAGGCAGUAGGCUGCGGGCUUCCCAACCCAGGGGUGAAGAACAAAGAGAUAGGACAGCAGCACAAGGACCCAGCGUGCCUGCUUCCCGGCCCUGCGCUCGGCCGCUCCACAGAGAGGGCGACGCGCUGAAAACCUCCGGCCACACACCAGCAACCUCAGCAGCAGCUGCAGCCUCCUCCCCCGAGGACGGCUGGUGCAGGAGCAAGAAGAACAAACCCCGGUAACAACAGCCUCCGCUCUCACCUCCCAGGUGCUUCCCAGGAGCCAGGCUGAGGGCACCACAAGUUCGCUUCAGCCUCACGACCACCUCUGAGGCAGCCACUGUUACUACCCCCCGUUUUCAGAUGAGGUAACUGGGGCACAGAGAGGCGAGUGGACCUGCCCACAGUCGCACAGCUGGAAAGUGGCAGGGCCCAGCUUUUGGCCACUCACUAUGCCAGCCUAAAAGCUAACGUCCGCAUUGGCCAUCAAACAAAGAAAGGGACUCACCAGCUAGACGCAGGCACGCCCCAGGCCUACGGGUGCUCGUGAGCUCGAACGCGGUUGCUACUCGAAGGGAGAGCUGGGCUCGUGUGGGAGAAGAGUGGUCUCCCCGCCUCCGUGGGGUCCCGGGCCCGGCCUGGCAGCAGCUGCCCUGCACUGGCAGGAGUGGGCUGUGGGUGCCCUUCGGCACUCAAGGAAAAAACGCUUCCAGCGAUGCAAGCAGCUGCCUUUGCUGCGGCUCUGAUUCCCAGAGGAUCCCAAAGCUUUUCCUAUCAUUUUUGCCCUUUUUCAGAAACCACUUAGCCGCUGCCCCUCCUCCAGCCAUGCCAGGGCUGCAGAGCACUUACCAGAGCCAGCCAGAGCUGCAACCUCAGCUCUCAGGGAAGGAGGGUGCUGCUCGGCCUCCCAAACCUGUGGCUCCUGCGCCCGGAGGUCUGGGAAACGGCUCCACAAAUGCACAUUCACAGCCAGCGACGUCAAAACUAGUGUCCUGUAACUGUUCCGUUUUCAAAAUAAAGAAGGAAUGGAGGGUC